rnacentral:rRNA from 1 species
GGGUCAGUAGGUUGGUCGUGCCACCGGUACGUACUGGUCUCACUGAUUCCUCCUUCCUGAAGAACCGUAAUGCCAUAAAUUUGGUGUUGCGGGGAAACAGGACUGUUACUUUGAAAAAAUUAGAGUGUUUAAAGCAAGCUAACGCUUGAAUACAUUAGCAUGGAAUAAUGAAAUAGGACGAUCGAUCCUAUUUUGUUGGUUUCUAGGAUUGACGUA